UUUAAACAGAAAGACUUCAAACAAACAUAAUGUUUUAAAAUUCAAAAACAAAGAUUAUGUUAAUGACAGCGAGAUCUCUCAGUGUUUCGCUAGUUUCUUUUUGUCAGUUUUUUCAAAUAAAGGUUCUCAGUCAAUUGAUCACUAUACAUAUGACUUGCGUCAACUUGAUCAAGUAAAUAUUCCAUAUGUUAUUGAUGCAUAUAUAUAUGUUGGCUUGCGCAGUUUAUAAACAAUUAAGAGUGCAGGCCCUGAUGGUGUUCCUAGCAUUAUACUAAAAUUUUGUUACCACCUUAACUACCCCAUUAACUCUAUUGUUUAAUUAUUCUUUAAAAUUUGGUUACAUUCCCUCCCUCUGGAAGAAAUCUUACUUAAUUCCAUUACAUAAAUCAGUUAGUGUAUCUACACAUCCAAUUGUAGGGGUAUUGCAAAAUUAGCCUAUUGAGCCUAUUUUCUGUCCUUAUCGAUAUGGUUUUUGGGCGAGGUUGUCGACUAUCACAAAUCUUACCAAAUUUACCCCCAUAGUUGUAAAGGAAUUUAUUAACGGUAUGCAAACUGAUGCAAUCUAUACAGAUUUUAGUAAAGCAUUUGAUUGUGUCAAUCACCAACUUUUAUUUAAUAAACUAAAUCAUAUAGGCUUUAGUAAUAGUGGAUAGCAUCGUAUUUAAUAGAUGGGACACGAUUAGUUUUAUUUGAGGGUUGCCAAUCUAGCUCUUUUAAAAGGACGGAAGUCAUCUUGGACCGGUCCUUUCUUCCUUAUUUGUAAACGACUUCAAUAAAAUGUUUUCAUGGUGCUAUUUAAAUGUCAUGGACUUAAAUUUUUAAAAAAAUGUAAAUAAUCAUAUGUGCUUUUAACGAUCUAAUCAUGGUACAAUAAGGAGGUAGAACAGCUUCGUAAAACAACAGAAAUACAGCCCUAAGGCUAUGCCCGCUUCCUAUCAAAUUUGUAUACAACACGUUGUUUUCAUUUAUUAAAUAUUUUUCCUCCUUUUUAAAAUCAGUUAAUCAGUUCUUCCAAAAAUAAUAUCUAAACAGUUCUAUCUUUCAAUUCCAUGGCAAAACUGGCGAAUUGCUUUAAUGCGCGUCUAGCAAUUUACGCGACUUCCAAACAUUGAUUUUGAAAAUAUUCUGUUUUUAUUUUUCAAAACAAUAAAUUAAUACACAAAAUUGGCAGAAGUCGGGCACUCUUAGAAAAAAAUUGUUAUCAGCUGGUAGCUCUACCUUACCUUUUUAUUGUACCAUGGAUCUAAUCCUUUACCAACUGUAUAUAAUAUUAACGGGAAAGUUUUAACAACCGUGGGAUCCUUUGUUGAUCUUGGCCUCCUAAUGGAUCCUAAGUUAUCUUUCAAUAAUCAUAUUAUAUCAAUGAUUAAGAAAGCUAAUGGUGUUUUAGGAUUCAUAAAACGGUGGGCUAAAGAAUUCUCUGAUCCGUAUGUUACCAAACAACUAUUUGUAUCACUUGUUCGGCCUAUACUAGAAUAUGCUUCAGUUGUAUGGCAUCCUAAUUAUACCAUCUACUAUACUACUAAAAUUGAAUCGGUGCAAAAACAAUUUCUGCUUUUUGCGCUGAGAGAUUUUCAUUGGAAUAGUGGUUUUACAUUAUUGCCCUAUACUAGCACCACCUAAAUUAACAAUACCAUAAGGGCGUAUAAAAUCUUAAAUGGUAACAUGCAUUCGGACUUUCUUAUUUCUUCUUUCAGAAUUAAUAUCCCAUUUAGAUUAAACAGGUGUUAUCAGUUUCUAAAUAUUGAUUUUCACCGAACUAAUUACUCUGUGGGUGAACCUAAAAGUAGAAUGUGUCCAGACUUAAAUUCUUGGCUAGUGAAAUAUUUUCUGUAGCUGGUAUUUCAAUGCCCACCAUGGUGUGGAUCAUGGCGAGUACGCGAUUCCUACGUAAUGGGGAGGUCGCCCCCACGGUCGGUUGGGGUGGGAAAGAGUGGCGUUGGGAACUUUCAUAUAAAAAAAAAUACUUAGCUUGAAAUAGAUUUUUACCUUUUUCAAUAAAUUUUUACUAUUUUUUAUUAUAUUUAUUAUAUUGAAUUUAACUAAGUAAGAGUUAAUAGAAAAUGAAAUUCCUAUCUUAUGUUUUCAAAACGUUUCCUUAAUUCAAGCUCAUUUACUACUUAAAUAAAUUAUCUCAUCACUUUGUUACUAUAAAUUAAAAUAGGAAAUAAGAAAAAUAAACUACUAUUAAUGUUUUUCCUACAAAAACGUAAGGAGCUGCAACUGGUCGAGUACCAAUUCAUAUUAAUAAAAUUACUGCUAUUGUCCAAAAUAUAAUUGCAUUAAUUGGAUUCCUCGGAAUUUUCUUAAGUGAUAGAAAGGUAAAAUAGCUUAAAUUGCAAUUGAUAAUACUAAUGUAAUAACUUGAUAAUACUAAUGUAAUAAUUGAUCCAAGAAUAGCAUACGCGCAAAAAAUAUUAUUAAGAAGUAAGAUUGCGAUUUUCCAAGGAGCGCAUAUCAAAAGAUUUUUCAUUUUGGAAGAAUGUGCUGUUCAAAAAAUCCGCCAUCAUACCAUGUCUUGCGAAGAACAUUUGAAGAAAGCUUUGAUUGAAGAAUAGCAAAAAAAUUGAACACAUCUAAACUUGUUAAAAGUUUGCCAUAUA